CCUACGGGGGGCUGCAGUGGGGAAUAUUGGACAAUGGGGGAAACCCUGAUCCAGCAAUGCCGCGUGUGUGAAGAAGGCCUGCGGGUUGUAAAGCACUUUCGGUUGGGAAGAAAAGUUUGGCGCCAAUACCGCCGAACCUUGACGUUACUGACAGAAGAAGCACCGGCUAACUCUGUGCCAGCAGCCGCGGUAAUACAGAGGGGAAAAGCUUUGAUCGGAGCGAGCGGAGGUAAAGAUGCAAGUCGGGUGCGAAAUCCCCGGGCUUAACCUGGGAACUGCAUUCGAUACUACAUGGCUAGAGUAUGGUAGAGGGAAGUGGAAUUUCCGGUGUAGCGGUGAAAUGCGUAGAUAUCGGAAGGAACACCAAUGGCGAAGGCAGCUUCCUGGACUAAUACUGACACUGAGGCACGAAAGCGUGGGUAGCAAACAGGAUUAGAUACCCCAGUAGUC
rnacentral:rRNA from 1 species